AUACGGAGGGGGUUAGCGUUGUUCGGAAUUACUGGGCGUAAAGCGUACGUAGGCGGAUUAGUAAGUUAGGGGUGAAAUCCCGAGGCUCAACCUCGGAACUGCCUCUAAAACUGCUAGUCUUGAGUUCGAGAGAGGUGAGUGGAAUUCCUAGUGUAGAGGUGAAAUUCGUAGAUAUUAGGAGGAACACCAGUGGCGAAGGCGGCUCACUGGCUCGAUACUGACGCUGAGGUACGAAAGUGUGGGGAGCAAACAGGAUUAGAAACCCGGGUAGUCC
rnacentral:rRNA from 1 species